rnacentral:rRNA from 1 species
UACGGAGGGGGCUAGCGUUAUUCGGAAUUACUGGGCGUAAAGCGCGCGUAGGCGGUUCUUUAAGUUGAGGGUGAAAUCCCGGGGCCUAACCCCGGAACUGCCUUCAAAACUGGAGGGCUUUGAGUUCGAGAGAGGUGAGUGGAAUUUCUAGUGUAGAGGUGGAAUUCGUAGAUAUUAGAAGGAACACCGGUGGCGAAGGCGGCUCACUGGCUCGAUACUGACGCUGAGGCGCGACAGCGUGGGGAGCAAACAGG